AGAGUUUGAUCCUGGCUCAGGAUGAACGCUGGCGGCGUGCUUAACACAUGCAAGUCGAACGAACCUUCGGGUUAGUGGCGGACGGGUGAGUAACGCGUGAGAAUCUGCCCUCAGGAGGGGGAUAACAGCUGGAAACGGCUGCUAAUACCCCAUAUGCCGCGAGGUGAAAUGAAUUUCGCCUGAGGAUGAGCUCGCGUCUGAUUAGCUAGUUGGUGUAGGUAAUGGCUCACCAAGGCGUCGAUCAGUAGCUGGUCUGAGAGGAUGAUCAGCCACACUGGGACUGAGACACGGCCCAGACUCCUACGGGAGGCAGCAGUGGGGAAUUUUCCGCAAUGGGCGCAAGCCUGACGGAGCAACGCCGCGUGAGGGAUGAAGGCCUCUGGGCUGUAAACCUCUUUUAUCAAGGAAGAAGAUCUGACGGUACUUGAUGAAUAAGCCACGGCUAAUUCCGUGCCAGCAGCCGCGGUAAUACGGGAGUGGCAAGCGUUAUCCGGAAUUAUUGGGCGUAAAGCGUCCGCAGGCGGCCCUUCAAGUCUGCUGUUAAAAAGUGGAGCUUAACUCCAUCAUGGCAGUGGAAACUGAGGGGCUUGAGUGUGGUAGGGGCAGAGGGAAUUCCCGGUGUAGCGGUGAAAUGCGUAGAUAUCGGGAAGAACACCAGUGGCGAAGGCGCUCUGCUGGGCCAUCACUGACGCUCAUGGACGAAAGCCAGGGGAGCGAAAGGGAUUAGAUACCCCUGUAGUCCUGGCCGUAAACGAUGAACACUAGGUGUCGGGGGAAUCGACCCCCUCGGUGUCGUAGCCAACGCGUUAAGUGUUCCGCCUGGGGAGUACGCACGCAAGUGUGAAACUCAAAGGAAUUGACGGGGGCCCGCACAAGCGGUGGAGUGUGUGGUUUAAUUCGAUGCAACGCGAAGAACCUUACCAGGGUUUGACAUCCUGCGAAUCUCUUGGAAACGAGAGAGUGCCUUCGGGAGCGCAGUGACAGGUGGUGCAUGGCUGUCGUCAGCUCGUGUCGUGAGGUGUUGGGUUAAGUCCCGCAACGAGCGCAACCCACGUCUUUAGUUGCCAGCAUUUAGUUGGGCACUCUAGAGAGACCGCCGGUGAUAAACCGGAGGAAGGUGUGGAUGACGUCAAGUCAUCAUGCCCCUUACAUCCUGGGCUACACACGUACUACAAUGCUACGGACAAAGGGCAGCAAGUUCGCGAGGACAAGCAAAUCCCAUAAACCGUGGCUCAGUUCAGAUCGUAGGCUGCAACUCGCCUACGUGAAGGAGGAAUCGCUAGUAAUCGCAGGUCAGCAUACUGCGGUGAAUACGUUCCCGGGCCUUGUACACACCGCCCGUCACACCAUGGAAGUUGGCCACGCCCGAAGCCGUUACUCCAACCCUUGUGGAGGAGGACGUCGAAGGUGGGGCUGAUGACUGGGGUGAAGUCGUAACAAGGUAUCCGUACCGGAAGGUGCGGAUGGAUCACCUCCUAA
rnacentral:rRNA from 1 species